rnacentral:rRNA from 1 species
UACAGAGGGUGCAAGCGUUGUUCGGAAUUAUUGGGCGUAAAGAGCUCGUAGGCGGUGUGUCGCGUCGGCCGUGAAAACCUGCAGCUUAACUGUGGGCGUGCGGUCGAUACGGGCAUCACUGGAGUUCGGCAGGGGAGACUGGAAUUCCUGGUGUAGCGGUGAAAUGCGCAGAUAUCGGAAGGAACACCGGUGGCGAAGGCGGGUCUCUGGGCCGAUACUGACGCUGAGGAGCGAAAGCGUGGGUAGCAAACAGG